ensembl:rRNA 5S_rRNA 5S ribosomal RNA
GUCUAUGGCCAUACCACCCUGAGAGCACCUGAUCUAGUCUGAUCUCAGAAGCUAAGCAGUGUCAGGCCUGGUUAGUACUUGGAUGGGAGAAAAAAAACUGGUCCCUGUCUUUA